rnacentral:lncRNA from 1 species
UGGAGGUGCACUUCAGGGCUCCCUGGCGAGUGUGGGGACCAGGACUGUCCCAUGCAACACACAGGUGCACCAAUCUCUCAGAAAGCACUUCCACUCGGGUCCCCCCGUACUCACUAUGGGGUCCUCCCCUCCAGGAACUGGCUCCCUUCUUUGGUGUGGGGCGGUGGUUAAGGCAUGGGCUCAGGAGCCAAACAUCUGAUUCAAGUCCGAACUCCACCCCUGUCCUUGGUGAGAGCUUCACUUUCCCUCCCCGUGCCUCCGUUCCCUCAUUCGUAAUAUGCAAGAUAAGAUAUGUCGCUGUACCAGGAUUGUGAAGAGCGCACAAGAUGAUUUCAUGUAAAGCUGGGAGCAGCCUUGGCCCAGUUGCUGUCAGGCUCAAACGAGAGGAUGCUUGUGGAAUGUUCUACUCCAGGCCUGCUCUGUGAGCGUGACCGACACCCGUCUCUGCCUCGUCACAGCCUGUUCACGUUAGAACAACAAAUUUGGCGAUCCCUGCCCGAGACCACAGACCACACCAGUGCCACUGGUCCCUCCCCGCCGUGCCUGUGAGACUGCCGGCUUUUGUACGGGCCGCUCUGUCCCGGGAGGGAAGCGUUCGGACUCAGUGUGUCCCUUCCACGCCUAGGGCCAGGAUGAAGUCACGGAGGAGCCUUCCUGCCCCCCCCCUCAACCUGGCCGUGCUGGGGGACGUCUCCUUCCUGGCUGCUUCCAGAGCACACGAGGUCAGUUUCGCCUCUUCUGGAAGGACGUGGAGAGAGUGGGAGCCUACACUGCGUACUUUCUUCGCGUCUGGCUUCUUUUGUUCCACGUCGUGGUUGUGA